rnacentral:rRNA from 1 species
GACGAACGCUGGCGGCGUGCUUAACACAUGCAAGUCGAACGGAAAGGCCCUGCUUUUGUGGGGUGCUCGAGUGGCGAACGGGUGAGUAACACGUGAGUAACCUGCCCUUGACUUUGGGAUAACUUCAGGAAACUGGGGCUAAUACCGGAUAGGAGCUCCUGCUGCAUGGUGGGGGUUGGAAAGUUUCGGCGGUUGGGGAUGGACUCGCGGCUUAUCGGCUUGUUGGUGGGGUAGUGGCUUACCAAGGCUUUGACGGGUAGCCGGCCUGUGAGGGUGGCCGGCCACAUUGGGACUGAGAUACGGCCCAGACUCCUACGGGAGGCAGCAGUGGGGAAUAUUGCACAAUGGGCGGAAGCCUGAUGCAGCAACGCCGCGUGCGGGAUGACGGCCUUCGGGUUGUAAACCGCUUUCGCCUGUGACGAAGCGUGAGUGACGGUAAUGGGUAAAGAAGCACCGGCUAACUACGUG